UUUUUGUGACUUUUGUAUUUCUAUUUUACAUAUACUAUUUUUUUUGUAAGUUUACAUUUUUUGUUUUUAUAGUCAUGAUGAUAAAUUAUUUUAAUAAUUGAUAGGUCAUAAUUUUUGUAAAAAUAUUUUUUCACUUUGUAUAAGCAUGUGACAUGUAUGAUAAUAUAAAUAUAUAAAUGCUUUAAUAAGUAUGUGGUAAACUAGAAAAUAAAAAUCAAUAAGAAAAAUAAUAAAAUGCAAUCUAUUAUUAUUGAAUUAGAAAGUUUAGAGAGAAUAAAUAUAACAUUACUUUUUGUUUAAUUAGUGUCCUUAAUAAUCAUUUUGUAAGAGGAUAAAUAUGUCAUUUAAUAAUUCAUAAUACAGUGAGGUCAAGUGAGCAAACUUAGAAGUCUCAAUAGCCGCACUCGUACGUUUAACCUCUAGUCAAAUUUCACUAGUAAAUGAUGUCAUCAGUUAGCCGAAAAAAGGCAUGCCUUAAACGUGUCCUCCAUGUGCACCUGCCCUGGUUGGAAAUGCACACGUCUCGAAACAAAUAAUCGUCAAACUCAAACAAGACAGGCCAGCCAAACCCAAGCCCUACUCUCAAAGGAUAUCCGCUCUUGAAUGCCAGAAAGUUAUUUAGGAAGCAUUUUGGUGUGAAAGCCAAUGGUAUGGUGAAGGCUUUUCCCUUUUUACCCUUAAUGAUAACAAAGUCCAAUAUCCGAGCGAGUUACCCUAGUAUACAAGUCUCCAUGAUGCUAAAAGGUAGGAGGUAAAAUUGAAGUGUGUUUCUACUUUCUACGGUGCAGGUGAACUCGUGGAAAUGCAUGACCAGAAGACUUUGGAGGGCUAUGAAUU
rnacentral:lncRNA from 1 species